GACGAACGCUGGCGGCGUGCUUAACACAUGCAAGUCGAACGGUGAACCUCUUCUUUGUGGAUCAGUGGCGAACGGGUGAGUAACACGUGGGCAACCUGCCCCCGACCCUGGGAUAACUCCAAGAAAUCGGGGCUAAUACCGGAUGUUCACGGCUUCCCCCAUGGGUGGUGGUGGAGAGGGUUUCCGGCUGGGGAUGGGCCCGCGGCCGAUCAGCUUGUUGGUGGGGUAGUGGCCUACCAAGGCGACGACGGGUAGCCGGCCUGAGAGGGUGACCGGCCGCACUGGGACUGAGAGGCGGCCAAGACUCCUACGGGAGGCAGCAGUGGGGAAUGUUGCGCGAUGGGCGGAAGCGUGAGGCAGCGACGCCGCGUGGGGGAUGACGGCCUUCGGGUUGUAAACCGCUUUCAGCAGGGACGAAGCGCAAGUGACGGUACCUGCAGAAGAAGCACCGGCCAACUACGUG
rnacentral:rRNA from 1 species